UUGCCUCCUAAAGAGUAACGGAGGCGCCCAAAGGUUCCCUCAGCCUGGUUGGCAAUCAGGUGGUGAGUGUAAGUGCACAAGGGAGCUUGACUGUGAGAGUGACAGCUCGAGCAGGGACGAAAGUCGGGACUAGUGAUCCGGCACCUACUUGUGGAAGUGGUGUCGCUCAACGGAUAAAAGGUACCCCGGGGAUAACAGGCUGAUCUUCCCCAAGAGUCCAUAUCGACGGGAUGGUUUGGCACCUCGAUGUCGGCUCGUCGCAUCCUGGGGCUGGAGUAGGUCCCAAGGGUUGGGCUGUUCGCCCAUUAAAGCGGCACGCGAGCUGGGUUUAGAACGUCGUGAGACAGUUCGGUCUCUAUCCGCCGCGCGCGUAGAAACUUGUGGAAGGCUGUCCCUAGUACGAGAGGACCGGGACGGACGUACCUCUAGUGUGCCAGUUGUUCCGCCAGGGGCAGGGCUGGUUGGCUACGUACGGAAGGGAUAACCGCUGAAAGCAUCUAAGCGGGAAGCCUGUUUCGAGAUGAGGUUUCUUUUGAGGUUCCCUGGAGAUGACGGGGUUGAUAGGCCGGAUCUGGACGCACAGUAAUGUGUGGAGGUGACCGGUACUAAUUUACCGACGUAACACA
rnacentral:rRNA from 1 species